rnacentral:rRNA from 1 species
UAUCGAUCCCUUCUGUGCCGAAGCAAGCGCGUUAAGUACCCCGCUGGGAGUACGGCGGCAAGGCUAAAACUCAAAGGAAUAGACGGGGCCCGCGCAAGCGGUGGAGCAUGUGGUUUAAUACGACGCAACGCGUAGAACCUUACCAGGGCUUGACAUGCUGGUGGUACUGGCUCCGAAAGGAGACAGGACCCUUCGGGGAGCCAACACAGAUGUUGCACGGCUGUCGUCAGCUCGUGUCGUGAGAUGUUGGGUUAAGUCCCGCAACGAGCGCAACCCUUGUCCUUAGUUGCCAGCAGGUAAUGCUGGGGACUCUAAGGAGACUGCCUGUGAUAAGCAGGAGGAAGGUGAGGAUGACGUCAAGUCAUUGUGGCUCUUACGCCCUGGGCUACACACGUGCUACAAUGGUCGAUACAAUGGGUAGCAAUGCCGCGAGGUGGAGCCAAUCCCCAAAAGUCAGCCUCAGUUCGGAUUGGAGUCUGCAACUCGACUCCAUGAAGUCGGAAUCGCUAGUAAUGGCGCAUCAGCUACGGCGCCGUGAAUACGUUCCCGGGCCUUGUACUCACCGCCCGUCACAUCACCUGAGUUGAUUGCACCUGAAGUCACUGGUCUAACCUUCGGGAGGAAAGUGCCGAAGGUGUGAUUGGUAAGGGGGAUGAAGUCGUAACAAGGUAACCAAGGGCGAA